ensembl:snRNA U6 U6 spliceosomal RNA
GUGCUCACCUCAUCAGCACAUAUACUAAAAUUGGAUUGAUACAGAGAAGAUUAGCAUGGCCCCUGCACAAGGAUGACACACAAAUUCUGAAGUAUUCCAUAUUUUU